CCGGAUGCGGCCGUGGUGGUGGUGGUGGCUGCGGGGCCGAAGCCAAAUGCUGCCGUUGAUGCGGUGGGUUUGGCACCAAAUGAACCGAAAGAAAACCCGGACGUGCCUUCACAUGAACAUAAGAGAGUGCGCUGGGUUACUCGUGGCUCCGCCAAAACUGAACGCCAUGUUGGAUGUUUUCAGACGCAGGCGGUUCUUCUUCUUCUUCUUCUUCUUGAGGCUCAGCUGUGAUCAUCCGACGUAACGGCGCAGCAGCGCCACCUGCAGUCGGCAUGCGGGAUGGUUACUAAUGAUGGGCCCAGUCAAAAAGAGGCGCUCAUUCAUUCCAAUGGUAAAAGCAAAUACAAUGGCGGCUCAUUUUAGGGUGAAAUUAUAAUUAUAUAUUAUUGACGAAAUCUUGUGAAAGUGAAAUACACAUGUGUCUUAAAAGCAACGGACAAAUAAUAGAUCUCUUCAAGAGCCCAAUAUGUCUUUAUUUUCUGAUAUAUGGUUUUCCUGGAGUUUAAGUGGCGUGGACUACCCCGCUUUUUGAAUUUAAUCCUGUAACAAUUCAUACAAUGCCAGUAAAAUUUGAACUUCAAAUUAAUUUUAGUUAAGGGGCCACAAACUACUACUACUACCUACUUUGAUCUCAAGUGGGCCAGACCAGAAAAGUCUUAGCAUGGUAACGCAUACAUAACUAUUCAUUUCUCUAUUGUUAUUCAACUUUGGUGAAGGUUUUUUGAUUAUAAACCCUAUUUUAAGGUCUUUCUACAGUAAACUAAAAUCGUUAAAUGUUGGAAUAUCAAUCAUAAGGCUGUUAUUUGCAUUGCUCUAUGUCCAACUCCUCCUCCUUUAUCAGGUCUUGGCACCCUGGCAAGGUGGCAAGAUAGAGUUACUUUUUUUUAGUUUCCUUAUCCAUACAUCCAGACUCAGCCUUCGGUUGCAUCACAACAUGAGUGACGUUAGGGAGCAACGCAGUUAAGAGCGCGCACCCCCCCGGUUCUUUCCUUCGCUCGGUUGUUUAUGCCGUGCAUAUUUUUACCCACUGGCGAAGAUGAAUUCGAGAGUUAAAAAUUUCUACAAUAAAUGACACAAUGUCAAGGUAAAAGUGAUGUAAAGACGCAUUUUCUGAAACUAAUUUUAUUUUUGUGUAUGCAGUAAAAAUGGUAUUAACAGUCUGUUUCAAAGCUAUGGGCAACUAAAGAAUACAUGGCUAUAGCAGUAACAAUGAUUUCAGAAAGUACAAUCUGUGAUCAAAGUAUGACACAAAGUAACCCGGUGUUCAAUCCAUAUGGUGCUGUUUGUGUUUUGGUUUUACCAACAAAACAAAACAAAAAUCAUAAUUCUUUAACCACAAUUCCAGUAUUGCAUGAUACUGUAUUUUUUUGCAUCUUUAUUCAUUAAUUGACCCAUUUUAAAUGAAGCUACAUUGUGCACUCUACGUGAAUUUCUUCAAUUUUCAUUGGGUUUUCUGUGCUAGACUCAUUAAAGUAUACAAAUAGUCAAAUCAAAUGAGGAAUCUCAAAAUUAAGCUUCCCCACUAUUGUGUGAUAUAUUGCUUGCUGAUUACUACAGUGCAUGUAAGUCAUUCAUCCUUAAACUGUUGCAACUAGGAAUAAGAGCAGUAACACAAGCUGGGCUCAACACAGAUACAAGCAAGUCAUUCUGCAGCAUUCACGGCGUUACAUUAAAUGGACCUGAAAUCGGAUAAUUUAACCAGCCUCGAGUGACAAAGUUUGACCCUAAGAAGCAACUAUUAAACGGCCAUGGUUUAAUGUUGACUUUUGUUUGGUAUUUAGAAGUAAAAGAUGCACAUGAGAGUAGAUUUGUUGGUGUGACAUGGCAUUAUGUUCACAAAAUAUGGAAAAAAAAGAAA